rnacentral:rRNA from 1 species
GAUGAACGCUGGCGGCGUGCUUAACACAUGCAAGUCGAACGGACUGAGGGAGCUUGCUCCCAAAGUUAGUAGCGGAUGGGUGAGUAAGGCGUGGGGAAACUGCCCCAUGCAGGGGGAUAACGUUUGGAAACGAACGCUAAUACAGCCUAAUCUAGUUGGCUCGCAUGAACUAACUAGCAAAGAUUUUAUCGGCAUAGGAUGGACCCGCGUUAGAUUAGCUAGUUGGUGAGGUAACAGCCGACCAAGGCAACGAUCAGUAGCCGGCCUGAGAGGGUGGACGGCCACACUGGGACUGAGACACGGUCCAGACUCCUACGGGAGGCAGCAGUGGGGGAUAUUGCAUAAUGGGCGCAAGCCUGAUGCAGCGACGCCGCGUGAAGGAUGAAGGUCUUCGGGUCGUAAACUUCUAUCAGCAGGGAAGAAUACCAUGACGGUACCUGACGAAGAAGCCCCGGCUAACUACGUGCCAGCAGCCGCGGUAACAC